rnacentral:rRNA from 1 species
CCGUGCCAUGUUAUAAUGGAUGCUGUCCAGAUGCCUAAAAAGCAUUUCAUAAACAAGGGCCGGGCAAGACCGGUGCCAGCCGCCGCGGUAACACCGGCGGCUCGAGUGGUAACCGUUUUUAUUGGGUCUAAAGGGUCUGUAGCCGGCCUGAUAAGUCUCUUGAGAAAUCUGGCAGCUCAACUGUCAGGCUUUCAGGAGAUACUGUCUGGCUCGAGGCCGGGAGAGGUGAGAGGUACUUCAGGGGUAGGGGUGAAAUCCUGUAAUCCA